rnacentral:rRNA from 1 species
AGCCUGUUCUAGAACCGAUAACCCCCGUUAAACCUCACCCUCCCUUGUUUUUUCCGCCUAUAUACCGCCGUCGUCAGCUUACCCUGUGAAGGUUUAAUAGUAAGCAGAAUUGGUAAAACCCAAAACGCCAGGUCGAGGUGUAGCGAAUGAGAGGGGAAGAAAUGGGCUACAUUUCCUGAACCAGGAAAUACGGACAAUAUACUGAAACGUACAUUAGAAGGAGGAUUUAGCAGUAAGCAGAAAAUAGAGCGUUCCGCUGAAACUGGCCCUGAAGCGCGCACACACCGCCCGUCACUCUCCCCGAGCUAACAUGAAUAUAUUCUUAAUAACCAACACCUGCAAAGGGGAGGCAAGUCGUAACAUGGUAAGUGUACCGGAAGGUGCACUUGGAAAAAU